AAUAAUUAAGUCUAUUCCUAGAAAAUCUUUUCUUGAUGCUGUUCGGAAUGGGAUAUUUUCUAUGAUUACAUUUUCUUUGGUUGUUGUUA